GCUCCCAGAGUCAAGGAUUGGAGUGACCUAACAGAUCACCGGUCCAGAUAAUACCAGAGGGGAAUGUUACAGGUUUAAAAAUUCAAUUUUUUUAAAUUAGCU